AUGGUCCACAUAUCAGAUAUUAAACUGAUAAGAACAGAUACUACACUUGAUCUUAGCCAAAAGGCCGAGAAAGGUAUGAUUUGCAAAGCUGCCCUGCCCCUCUUCUUAUAG
rnacentral:rRNA from 1 species